AUUGAACGCUGGCGGCAGGCCUAACACAUGCAAGUCGAGCGGCAGCGGAAAGUAGCUUGCUACUUUGCCGGCGAGCGGCGGACGGGUGAGUAAUGUCUGGGAAACUGCCUGAUGGAGGGGGAUAACUACUGGAAACGGUAGCUAAUACCGCAUAACGUCGCAAGACCAAAGAGGGGGACCUUCGGGCCUCUUGCCAUCAGAUGUGCCCAGAUGGGAUUAGCUAGUAGGUGGGGUAACGGCUCACCUAGGCGGCGAUCCCUAGCUGGUCUGAGAGGAUGACCAGCCACACGGGAAAGGAGACGCGGGCCAAACUCCGACGGGAGGCAGGAGUGGGGAAUAUUGCACAAUGGGCGGAAGCCUGAUGUAGGCAUGCGGCGUGUAUGAAGAAGGCCUUCGGGUUGUAAAGUACUUUCAGCGGGGAGGAAGGUGUUAAGGUUAAUAACCUCAGCAAUUGACGUUACCCGCAGAAGAAGCACCGGCUAACUCCGUGCCAGCCGCCGCCGUAACAC
rnacentral:rRNA from 1 species